GGCACAGGAAAAAACAAUAUUCUAACAAAACCCAAAAUACAUAGAUAUAAUGCAAAAUCUAACAAAAAUCACAUCACAAUUAUUCAAUAUAAGAACUGAUGAUGAGAUGAAGAACCCACGCUUAAUGAUCUAUGAUAAAGAGAAUAAGAAAAGCAGAAGGGAGAUGAAAGAUUAGAUUGGAGGAGGCGAAUUUCUCAAUAGCUGAGGAAGAAAUGAGCAAUGCGAUGGCAGAGGGCUUAACAUGAUAGAGUUUACGCAGGAUCAGUUCGGUUAAUAUGAUUUUUUUCACUGUUGAGUUUUUCGGAAUGAACCAUAUACUGACCACUUUGUGAUCCAAACCUUGAAGAUAAUAUAAAAAAGUUCUUCGUGUUUUAUUUUUCAAAAAGAACAACGAAACAGGUUCGGCGAAAGUUGUUGCGUCUUAUGUUUUCCUGAUUUGCUAAGCUCUUUUGAAGCAAAAAACAGUCAAGUCGCCAUCUUUUUGGUUAGAAGAAAUACCAAAAACAAGAAAUAAUGGUUACAUUCUGCACUAUCCUAAAAUAGCGGCUGAGAUUUUUAUUUUUUAUUUUGGCCUUCUCAUCUUUUAUUUUCUCCGCAAAUAAUGAAUAAGCAAAAGAAGACAUA
rnacentral:lncRNA from 1 species